rnacentral:rRNA from 1 species
AUUGAACGCUGGCGGCAUGCCUUACGCAUGCAAGUCGAACGGCAGCACGGGUGCAUGCACCUGGUGGCGAGUGGCGAACGGGUGAGUAAUACAUCGGAACGUACCUUAUCGUGGGGGAUAACGCAGCGAAAGCUGUGCUAAUACCGCAUACGCCCUGAGGGGGAAAGCGGGGGAUCGAAAGACCUCGCGCGACUAGAGCGGCCGAUGCCUGAUUAGCUUGUUGGUGGGGUAAAAGCCCACCAAGGCGACGAUCAGUAGCUGGUCUGAGAGGACGAUCAGCCACACUGGGACUGAGACACGGCCCAGACUCCUACGGGAGGCAGCAGUGGGGAAUUUUGGACAAUGGGGGCAACCCUGUUCCAGCAAUGCCGCGUGAGUGAAGAAGGCCUUCGGGUUGUAGCUCUUUUGUCAGGGAAGAAACACCGGCUCUAACACAGUCCGGGAAUGACGGUACCUGAAGAAUAAGCACCGGCUAACUACGUGCCAGCAGCCGCAGUAA